rnacentral:rRNA from 1 species
GAUGAACGCUGGCGGCGUGCCUAAUACAUGCAAGUCGAGCGAACGGACGAGAAGCUUGCUUCUCUGAUGUUAGCGGCGGACGGGUGAGUAACACGUGGAUAACCUACCUAUAAGACUGGGAUAACUUCGGGAAACCGGAGCUAAUACCGGAUAAUAUUUUGAACCGCAUGGUUCAAAAGUGAAAGACGGUCUUGCUGUCACUUAUAGAUGGAUCCGCGCUGCAUUAGCUAGUUGGUAAGGUAACGGCUUACCAAGGCAACGAUGCAUAGCCGACCUGAGAGGGUGAGCGGCCAAACGGGAACUGAGAAACGGUCCAGAACCCGAGGGGAGGCAGAAGUAGGGAAGCUUCCGCAAGGGGGGAAAGCCGGAAGGAGCAACGCCGGGGGAGGGAUGAAGGUCUUGGGAUCGUAAAACUCUGUUAUUAGGGAAAAAAAAAGGUGAAAGUAAAGGGGAAAAUCUGGACGGUACCUAAUAAGAAAGCCACGGCUAACUACGG